rnacentral:rRNA from 1 species
AGGACGAACGCUGGCGGCGUGCCUAACACAUGCAAGUCGAACGAGGUCCAACCGGUAGCAAUACCGGUGAAGACCAAGUGGCGAACGGGUGAGUAGCACGUGAGCAACCUACCCCGAAGACCGGGACAACACCGGGAAACCGGUGCUAAUACCGGAUAUCCCCACCGAGUCGCAUGGCUUGGUGAGGAAAUGGAUUCCGCUUCGGGAGGGGCUCGCGGCCUAUCAGCUAGUUGGUGAGGUAACGGCUCACCAAGGCUUCGACGGGUAGCUGGUCUGAGAGGACGAUCAGCCACACUGGGACUGAGACACGGCCCAGACUCCUACGGGAGGCAGCAGUGGGGAAUCUUGCACAAUGGGCGAAAGCCUGAUGCAGCAACGCCGCGUGAGGGACGAAGGCUUUCUGAGUUGUAAACCUCUUUCAGCAGGGACGAUGAUGACGGUACCUGCAGAAGAGCCCGGCAACUACGUGCCAGCAGCCGC